ACGCGAAAGGCCCCUUCGGGGGCCGAGUAGAGUGGCGUCCGGGUGAGUAACACGUGAGUAAUUUGCCUUCGGGUGGGGAAUAACAACCGGAAACGGUUGCUAAUACCGCAUAAUGCAGCGGCACCUAAUGGUGACAGUUGUUAAAGCGGGGGAUUCGCAAGAACCUCGCGCCUGAAGAGAAGCUCGCGGCGGAUUAGCUAGUUGGUAGGGUAACGGCCUACCAAGGCCACGAUCCGUAGCCGGCCUGAGAGGGCGGUCGGCCACACUGACACUGACACACGGGUCAGACUCCUACGGGAGGCAGCAGUCGGGAAUUUUGGGCAAUGGGCGAAAGCCUGACCCAGCAACGCCGCGUGAAGGAUGAAGUUUUUCGGAAUGUAAACUUCACAAGAAUGGGAAGAAUAAGGAGGGGUUAAUACCCCCUUCGAUGACGGUACCAUUUGUAAGCUCCGGCUAACUCCGUGCCAGCAGCCGCGGUAAUACGGGGGGAGCAAGCGUUGUUCGGAUUUACUGGGCGUAAAGGGCGCGUAGGCGGCGCAACAAGUCACUUGUGAAAUCUCCGGGCUUAACUCGGAGCGGCCAAGUGAUACUGUCGUGCUAGAGUGCGGAAGGGGCAACUGGAAUUCUCGGUGUAGCGGUGAAAUGCGUAGAUAUCGAGAGGAACACCUGCGGCGAAGGCGGGUUGCUGGGCCGACACUGACGCUGAGGCGCGAAAGCCAGGGGAGCGA
rnacentral:rRNA from 1 species